AGAUGUUUUAAGAAUACUGGCUUCACUGUUGAAUGUUUCCUGCAGAGGAAUAUUUUCAGCCAAGCCUCGUACAACAGAUGUUGAAAGAUUGAGCCUUUUUGACUGUAGGCACCAGCUCUGUUCUCCAAACCCCCUUCGAUGCCACUGAUGCUGCUACUAUGUUAAUUCAGCAGAAAUUGUUCCCGGAAGACACUCACUACAAAUUUCUGGGUUUCCCAACCAAGGAUUUUGACCGAAGAUCCCAUCUGAAGGUGUAUCUAUUAUUUUAGAAUUUUCUCUUUGUAAAUGGGUUUGCAGCAGAGACUUCUGCCUGCCGCUGGUGUUCUGCAAAUCCGGCCUCACAUUUCCUACUCACCAUACUUCUCCAAAUCUGCCCUCUGGAGACUCUGGCCUCAGCUACCGUAAAAUAAUGGCAAGCAAAAGCCUGUUAGGAAGGAGCAGGACUUUGGAUACUCCUGAAUUAUGCUGGAACAGAUGCCUGAUCUUGAAGCCUGUGCUUGAAUUGUUUUUGCAGGUUUGUGCUCUUCUUUUUUUCAUUGAUUCCCUCUUUUUGUAGCUGAAAGAAAGAGUUGUAUUGUGAAAUAUAAUAAAAACAUAAUUAUGUACUAUUUGAUAAAACA
rnacentral:lncRNA from 1 species